UACGGGGGGGGGCAAGCGUUGUUCGGAAUUACUGGGCGUAAAGGGCUCGUAGGCGGCCAACUAAGUCGGAUGUGAAAUCCCCAGGCUUAACCUGGGAACUGCAUCCGAUACUGGAUGGCUUGAAUCCGGGAGAGGGAUGCAGAAUUCCAGGUGUAGCGGUGAAAUGCGUAGAUAUGCGGAGGAACGACCGAUGGCGAAGGCAAGUCCCCCUGGGGCCUGCACUGACGCUCAUGCACGAAAGCGUGGGGAGCAAACAGG
rnacentral:rRNA from 1 species